rnacentral:rRNA from 1 species
UUUGUUACUUCAAACCAAUCGGACUUCGGUCUGACAUCAAGUGAUAUUGAACAAUUUAGCUGAUCGCACGGUCUAAGAACCGGCGACAUAUCCUUCAAAUGUCUGCCUUAUCAACUUUCGAUGGUAGAUUAUGCGCCUACCAUGGUUGUAACGGGUAACGGAGAAUCAGGGUUUGAUUCCGGAGAGGGAGCCUGAGAAACGGCUACCACAUCCAAGGAAGGCAGCAGGCACGCAAAUUACCCACUCCCGGCACGGGGAGGUAGUGACGAAAAAUAACAAGCUGGUCUCAAUGAGUUCCAGCAUUGUAAUGGGAACAAUUUAAAUCUUUUAUCGAGGAUCUAUUGGAGGGCAAGUCAGGUGCCAGCAGCCGCGGUAAUUCCAGCUCCAAUAGCGUAUAUUAAAGUUGUUGCGGUUAAAAAGCUCGUAGUUGGAUCUAGGAUUAGGGCUACGGUCGUUCAGCUUGGACGUACUGUAUGCCCGACUCCUUUUCUCUAGUAUUCGAUUGUUGCUCUUAAAUGAGUGACUUUAGUUGCUGGAACUUUUACCUUGAAAAAAUUGAAGUGCUCAAAGCAGGUU